rnacentral:rRNA from 1 species
UACGGAGGAUGCGAGCGUUAUCCGGAUUUAUUGGGUUUAAAGGGUGCGUAGGUGGAUUGGUAAGUCAGUGGUGAAAGUUUGCAGCUUAACUGUAAAAUUGCCGUUGAAACUGCCGGUCUUGAGUGCAAAUGAGGUAGGCGGAAUGCGUCGUGUAGCGGUGAAAUGCUUAGAUAUGACGCAGAACUCCGAUUGCGAAGGCAGCUUACUGGGAUGCAACUGACGCUGAGGCACGAAAGCGUGGGUAUCAAACAGAAUUAGAUA